rnacentral:RNase_P_RNA from 2 species
GAAGUGAGCCAGACGAUCGCUGCUGUGGAAAUCUCCGUGAUUGAAGCAGGGGAGGAAAGUCCGGGCUUCAUAGGGCAAGGUGCCAGGUAACGCCUGGGCGGUGUAAACCGACGGCAAGUGCAGCAGAGAGUAGACCGCCUCAUUCGUGAGGUAAGGGUGAAAGGGUGCGGUAAGAGCGCACCGCAUGGCUGGUAACAGUUCAUGGCGAGGUAAACCCCACCGGAAGCAAGACCAAAUAGGAAUCCAUUAGGCAUGGCCCAUGCUGGAUUCGGGUAGGUCGCUUGAGCGCAUGAGUGAUUGUGCGCCUAGAGGAAUGAUCGUUCACGACAGAACCCGGCUUAUCGGCUCACUUCAACA